AAUCAGCAGAUAGUUGCUCUAGGCCAGUGCCCAGGGACUUUCCAUGGUGGAGGAGCCCAACCAAGGCGCCACAGCUGUUCUGUCCACAGCCCUAUCUCCAGCUGUCUGGGUGCAGGGUCUGUUCAGAACUGAGCUCUGGAGCCUCUGGAGUCCACAGACCUAGUGGGCAGUGGAAGGAUUAUGACAUAAGGAUCAGAGUCACUGCUGACGAUGAAGCUGCCUGUCAGUUCAACUGGAGCUGGACUGUCCAGAGUCCAAUUAGUGCUGCCUGUUGGAAUGUUGACUGAUCUUCUUGGCUUCAUCUUGUGUAGUUCUGGUGUAGGUCCGGCCUCACCUGCUCCUUAACCUGAUGUCCCUACCAGUCUUGGGAGGUCUCUGCUCCUGAUUUGUGAGAAGGAUGGUACUGCUGUAAAUACCCCUGUAAUCUCUG
rnacentral:lncRNA from 1 species